rnacentral:rRNA from 1 species
GAUGAACGCUAGCGGGAGGCCUAACACAUGCAAGCCGAGCGGUAUUGUUUCUUCGGAAAUGAGAGAGCGGCGUACGGGUGCGGAACACGUGUGCAACCUGCCUUUAUCUGGGGGAUAGCCUUUCGAAAGGAAGAUUAAUACUCCAUAAUAUAUUGAACGGCAUCGUUUAAUAUUGAAAGCUCCGGCGGAUAGAGAUGGGCACGCGCAAGAUUAGCUAGUUGGUGAGGUAACGGCUCACCAAGGCGAUGAUCUUUAGGGGGCCUGAGAGGGUGAUCCCCCACACUGGUACUGAGACACGGACCAGACUCCUACGGGAGGCAGCAGUGAGGAAUAUUGGUCAAUGGGUGCAAGCCUGAACCAGCCAUCCCGCGUGAAGGACGACUGCCCUAUGGGUUGUAAACUUCUUUUGUAUAGGGAUAAACCUAUCCUCGUGAGGGUAGCUGAAGGUACUAUACGAAUAAGCACCGGCUAACUCCGUGCCAGCAGCCGCGGUAAACUGUCUACG